AAUCCAUAGGUUAAUGAGGCGAACCGGGGGAACUGAAACAUCUAAGUACCCCGAGGAAAAGAAAUCAACCGAGAUUCCCCCAGUAGCGGCGAGCGAACGGGGAGGAGCCCAGAGCCUGAAUCAGCAUGUGUGUUAGUGGAAGCGUCUGGAAAGGCGCGCGAUACAGGGUGACAGCCCCGUACACAAAAGCGCAUGUGCUGUGAGCUCGAUGAGUAGGGCGGGACACGUGGUAUCCUGUCUGAAUAUGGGGGGACCAUCCUCCAAGGCUAAAUACUCCUGACUGACCGAUAGUGAACCAGUACCGUGAGGGAAAGGCGAAAAGAACCCCGGCGAGGGGAGUGAAAAAGAACCUGAAACCGUGUACGUACAAGCAGUGGGAGCACCCUUUGGGUGUGACUGCGUACCUUUUGUAUAAUGGGUCAGCGACUUAUAUUCUGUAGCAAGGUUAACCGAAUAGGGGAGCCGGAGGGAAACCGAGUCUUAACCGGGCGUUAAGUUGCAGGGUAUAGACCCGAAACCCGGUGAUCUAGCCAUGGGCAGGUUGAAGGUUGGGUAACACUAACUGGAGGACCGAACCGACUAAUGUUGAAAAAUUAGCGGAUGACCUGUGGCUGGGGGUGAAAGGCCAAUCAAACCGGGAGAUAGCUGGUUCUCCCCGAAAGCUAUUUAGGUAGCGCCUCGUGAAUUCAUCUCCGGGGGUAGAGCACUGUUUCGGCUAGGGGGCCAUCCCGGCUUACCAACCCGAUGCAAACUGCGAAUACCGGAGAAUGUUAUCACGGGAGACACACGGCGGGUGCUAACGUCCGUCGUGAAGAGGGAAACAACCCAGACCGCCAGCUAAGGUCCCAAAGUCAUGGUUAAGUGGGAAACGAUGUGGGAAGGCCCAGACAGCCAGGAUGUUGGCUUAGAAGCAGCCAUCAUUUAAAGAAAGCGUAAUAGCUCACUGGUCGAGUCGGCCUGCGCGGAAGAUGUAACGGGGCUAAACCAUGCACCGAAGCUGCGGCAGCGACACUGUGUGUUGUUGGGUAGGGGAGCGUUCUGUAAGCCUGUGAAGGUGUGUCGUGAGGCAUGCUGGAGGUAUCAGAAGUGCGAAUGCUGACAUAAGUAACGAUAAAGCGGGUGAAAAGCCCGCUCGCCGGAAGACCAAGGGUUCCUGUCCAACGUUAAUCGGGGCAGGGUGAGUCGACCCCUAAGGCGAGGCCGAAAGGCGUAGUCGAUGGGAAACGGGUUAAUAUUCCCGUACUUGGUGUUACUGCGAAGGGGGGACGGAGAAGGCUAUGUUGGCCGGGCGACGGUUGUCCCGGUUUAAGCGUGUAGGCUGGUUUUCCAGGCAAAUCCGGAAAAUCAAGGCUGAGGCGUGAUGACGAGGCACUACGGUGCUGAAGCAACAAAUGCCCUGCUUCCAGGAAAAGCCUCUAAGCAUCAGGUAACAUCAAAUCGUACCCCAAACCGACACAGGUGGUCAGGUAGAGAAUACCAAGGCGCUUGAGAGAACUCGGGUGAAGGAACUAGGCAAAAUGGUGCCGUAACUUCGGGAGAAGGCACGCUGACACGUAGGUGAAGUGAUUUACUCAUGGAGCUGAAGUCAGUCGAAGAUACCAGCUGGCUGCAACUGUUUAUUAAAAACACAGCACUGUGCAAACACGAAAGUGGACGUAUACGGUGUGACGCCUGCCCGGUGCCGGAAGGUUAAUUGAUGGGGUCAGCGCAAGCGAAGCUCCUGAUCGAAGCCCCGGUAAACGGCGGCCGUAACUAUAACGGUCCUAAGGUAGCGAAAUUCCUUGUCGGGUAAGUUCCGACCUGCACGAAUGGCGUAAUGAUGGCCAGGCUGUCUCCACCCGAGACUCAGUGAAAUUGAACUCGCUGUGAAGAUGCAGUGUACCCGCGGCAAGACGGAAAGACCCCGUGAACCUUUACUAUAGCUUGACACUGAACAUUGAGCCUUGAUGUGUAGGAUAGGUGGGAGGCUUUGAAGUGUGGACGCCAGUCUGCAUGGAGCCGACCUUGAAAUACCACCCUUUAAUGUUUGAUGUUCUAACGUGGACCCGUUACCCGGGUUGCGGACAGUGUCUGGUGGGUAGUUUGACUGGGGCGGUCUCCUCCUAAAGAGUAACGGAGGAGCACGAAGGUUGGCUAAUCCUGGUCGGACAUCAGGAGGUUAGUGCAAUGGCAUAAGCCAGCUUGACUGCGAGCGUGACGGCGCGAGCAGGUGCGAAAGCAGGUCAUAGUGAUCCGGUGGUUCUGAAUGGAAGGGCCAUCGCUCAACGGAUAAAAGGUACUCCGGGGAUAACAGGCUGAUACCGCCCAAGAGUUCAUAUCGACGGCGGUGUUUGGCACCUCGAUGUCGGCUCAUCACAUCCUGGGGCUGAAGUAGGUCCCAAGGGUAUGGCUGUUCGCCAUUUAAAGUGGUACGCGAGCUGGGUUUAGAACGUCGUGAGACAGUUCGGUCCCUAUCUGCCGUGGGCGCUGGAGAACUGAGGGGGGCUGCUCCUAGUACGAGAGGACCGGAGUGGACGCAUCACUGGUGUUCGGGUUGUCAUGCCAAUGGCACUGCCCGGUAGCUAAAUGCGGAAGAGAUAAGUGCUGAAAGCAUCUAAGCACGAAACUUGCCCCGAGAUGAGUUCUCCCUGAGACUUAAAGUCUCCUGAAGGAACGUUGAAGACGACGACGUUGAUAGGCCGGGUGUGUAAGCGCAGCGAUGCGUUGAGCUAACCGGUACUAAUGAACCGUGAGGCUUAACCUUACAACGCCGAAG
rnacentral:rRNA from 2 species